CUUCUGGCCAUUUUCUUUAUAUGUGGUGCUGGAGAAUCGAACCCAGGGCUUCAAGUAUAUGAGGCAAGUGCUCUUGCCACUAGGCCAUAUCCCCAGCCCUCUCCUGGACUUUUCUUGUUAAUUCUUAGAAGUGAGAAACCUACAUUAAUUGCACUGCCUUUCUGGCUCCUAGUUUUGCCACAUUCCCCUCUUUUUAGUUUGUAUUCUAACUAGUAAACAUGCCAAAGUAAAUAGAACCAUUUCUGGCUGUAUGCACAUGGUUUAUUUCUUGGACAACUUGUAGACAAGAGCUGCCACCCAAAUUCUAGAAUAUCUGGAGAAAUCCUCAAAUCCUCAAACUGGCAUUAAAAACCCCAGUUCUGGACAGUAACAAGCGUAUAGAAAGAGAAAAGCUGGAAAAGGCCCAGGAAUCCUGGAAAUUGCUUAUGGAGACCUGGGCCGUCCCUCUUUUUGUCUUUAAAAGAACUUUUAUUGUUUUUCAAACUUAGGAGGUGGAAUCACGAAUGACUUUGGCCAUACAGAGCGCCAUGUCCAGCUGCGCUUCCUGCGGCUACUAAUGGUUCUAUUCAUAAGCAAUCUUGAGAACUUAAAGCCAGUUGGUCCACAGAAUGUGGGAACCAUUGGGAACCAUUUUAAGUCCUGCUAAGCAGAAAGCAACCAUCUCACUGGCUAACUGGCUGUAGAUGAGAAAGGACGUAAAUUUGUGGUUUUAAGCCUUUCGUUCUUCCUUUUUGAAAUGAGGAUCUAAGUUUUCGCCAUUGCGGGAGAAAUGAAAUAGGCCAAAUGCAUUAUAGAAAGUUGAAAACCGAUGAGUUAUAUGCAAAAGGAAAAUGGUGGACGAAAUGGUUGAUGGAAGCUGGCUGAUAUUCUGCUUUCUUUUUCUUUUUUAUACAAAAUAAAAAGACUGGGCAUCCUUAAAAAUAACCAGUGCCUAAUAAUGGACUGCCUAAUGAACUAAAAGGCGUGGCCAAAAAAGGACGACCUGCAGGAAACUAAAGCCCCAGAAGACAAGGAUGUAAGUCAAACAAAGGAGCUGCUGUUGGAACU